rnacentral:snRNA from 1 species
AUCACUUCUUGGCCUUUCAGCCAAGAUCAAGUGUAGUAGUAUCUGUUCUUACCAGUUUAACAUCUGAUACAUUCUCUAGCAGAGAACAAAAUAUUAGAUGGAUUUUUGGAACUAGGAUAUGGAAUAGGAGGUUGCUCCAUCCAUUCCACAUAUCGACCUGGUAUUUUGGUACUUCUAGGAACAGUGCACUAAAA